UACGGAAGGGGCAAGCGUUGUUCGGAAUCAUUGGGCGUAAAGGGCGCGUAGGUGGUUCUGUAUGUCUACCGUGAAAGCGUACGGCUCAACUGUAUUUUGUCGGUAGAAACUGCAGGACUUGAGGCUGGGAGGGGCUGGUGGAAUUCCCUGUGUAGCGGUGAAAUGCGUAGAGAUGGGGGAGAACACUCGUGGCGAAGGCGGCCCGCUGGGCAGGAAGGCUCGCAAGAGCCGGCUGACGCUGAGGCGCGACAGCGUGGGGAGCAAACAGG
rnacentral:rRNA from 1 species